rnacentral:snRNA from 1 species
GUCCCUUCAGGGAUAUCCGAUAAAAUUGGAACGAUACAGAGAAGAUUAGCAUGGCCUUUGCGCAAGGAUGACACACACAAAUCGAGAAAUGGUCCAAAUUUUU